UGAGAAAGAGUUGGCUAAGGAAAAGAGGAAGGACAUUGAUUAGGCAAAUCAAGUUGAGAAUGUUUUUUAUGUUUUUCUUUUUUAGAAGAUAUAGCCUGUGUUUAAUUAAUUGUUUGUGACAUGUAUAGCAUGGGCAAGGAGUUCCAAUAAGAAAGGCACAUAGAAUCAAUGUUACAGAUGUCAGAAGCUCAUGCUAGAAUGCACCUGAGGCAGCAUGUGACUCAGGAAGAUGUGGACAUGGCAAUUCGUGGGUUGCUUGACUCCUUUAUUUCUACUCAGAAGUUUGGAGUGCAGAAGGCUCUACAGAAGGGAGUUUCAAAAAGUACAUGACAUUCAUGAAGGAUUUCAAUGCGAUUGUAAUGCAUCUACUGAAUCAACUUGUGAUGGUGGCGCUGCACUUUAAAGAGAUUGUAUAUGGGUCUAACAAAGUUGUUACUCAUAUUGACGUGAAGGUGGAGGAAUUGCAAAGCAAGGUGCUGGAUUAUGGAAUAAUGGAUUUGAAGGCGUUUUUUUAGCAGCGUGGAAUUUGGUCGUGGGAACUUUGAAUUGGACGAAGAGCGGAGUGUGAUAAGGCAUCACCUUGUAAGGUGAUCAUGGAUUUGUAGGCGGGAUGUAAAAAUUCAAUAUUUAGAAGUUUUACAAGACAGGUUUUGUUAUGCCAAGCAUCGUUUCAAUGCAAACAACAUAGACGG